rnacentral:rRNA from 1 species
ACGAACGCUGGCGGCGUGCCUAAUACCUGCAAGUCGAACGCUUCUUUCCUCCCGAGUGCUUGCACUCAAUUGGAAAGAGGAGUGGCGGACGGGUGAGUAACACGUGGGUAACCUACCCAUCAGAGGGGGAUAACACUUGGAAACAGGUGCUAAUACCGCAUAACAGUUUAUGCCGCAUGGCAUAAGAGUGAAAGGCGCUUUCGGGUGUCGUUGAUGGAUGGACCCGCGGUGCAUUAGCUAGUUGGUGAGGUAACGGCUCACCAAGGCCACGAUGCAUAGCCGACCUGAGAGGGUGAUCGGCCACACUGGGAGUGAGAAGGGGCCCAGACACCUGCGGGAGGCAGCAGUAGGGAAUCUUCGGCAAUGGAGGAGAGUCUGACCGAGCAACGCCGCGUGAGUGAAGAAGGUGUUCGGAUCGUAAAACUCUGUUGUUAGAGAAGAACAAGGACGUUAGUAACUGAACGUCCCCUGACGGUAUCUAGCCAGAAAGCCACGGCUAACUACGUG